rnacentral:rRNA from 1 species
UGAAUACGAGAUGCUACGGCGUCGAAGCAGUCUAUGUCAUACUUCCAAGAAAAGCUUGCACUGUCAUAAACAAAUAAUGCCUGUACCAUAACCGACACAGGUGGGUAGGUAGAGUAUACUAAGGGGCGCGAGAUAACUCUCUCUAAGGAACUCGGCAAAAUGACUCCGUAACUUCGGGAGAAGGAGUGCCUUAUUUAUAUAAGGUUGCAACAACAAGAUCCAAGCAACUGUUUACCAAAAACACAGGUCUCCGCUAAGUCGUAAGACGAUGUAUGGGGGCUGACGCCUACCCAGUGCCAGAAGGUUAAAGAAGUUGGUUAGCAUCCGCGAAGCUGAUAACUGAAGCCCUGGUGAACGGCGGCCGUAACAAUAACGGUCCUAAGGUAGCGAAAUUCCUUGUCGGGUAAGUUCCGACCCGCACGAAAGGCGUAAUGAUUUGGAUACUGUCUCGGAGAGGGGCUCGGUGAAAUAGACUUGUUUGUGAAGACGCGGACUACCUGCACCUGGACAGAAAGACCCUAUGAAGCUUUACUGUAACUUGAAAUUGAAAUUGGACUUUAUUUGCGCAGUAUAGGUGGGAGGCGUUGAAAAUAAUCUUGCGGGAUUAUUGGAGCCAUCAGUGAGAUACCACUCUUGUAAUGUUAGAUUUCUAACUUUGUAUCAUUAUCUGGUCAAAGAACAGUUUCAGGCGGGCAGUUUGACUGGGGCGGUCGCCUCCCAAACGGUAACGGAGGCGCACAAAGGUUUCCUCUGAACGGGUAGAAAUCGUAUCUAGAGUGUAAAGGCAUAAGGAAGCUUGACUGUGAGACCUACAAGUCGAGCAGGGACGAAAGUCGGUCUUAGUGAUCUGACGGUGCUGAGUGGAAAGGCCGUCACUCAACGGAUAAAAGUUACUCUAGGAUAACAGGCUGAUCUCCCCCAAGAGUUCACAUCGACGGGGAGGUUUGGCACCUCGAUGUCGGCUCAUCGCAUCCUGGGGCGGUAGUACGUCCCAAGGGUUGGGCUGUUCGCCCAUGAAAGCGGUACGCGAGCUGGGUUCAGAACGUCGUGAGACAGUUCGGUCCAUAUCCGGUGUAGGCGUUAGAAUAUUGAGAGGAGCCUUCUCUAGUACGAGAGGACCGAGAAGGACAUACCUCUGGUGUACCAGUUAUCGUGCCAACGGUAAACGCUGGGUAGCUAUGUAUGGAGUGGAUAACCGCUGAAAGCAUCUAAGUGGGAAGCCCACCUCAAGAUAAGUAUUC